UCCACCUACGGGGCGCAGCAGGGAAUAUUGCACAAUGGGCGCAAGCCUGAUGCAGCAACGCCGCGUGAGCGAAGAAGGUCUUCGGAUCGUAAAGCUCUGUCCUUGAGGAAGAAGGAAGUGACGGUACUCAAGGAGGAAGCCCCGGCUAACUACGUGCCAGCAGCCGCGGUAAUACGUAGGGGGCAAGCGUUAUCCGGAAUUAUUGGGCGUAAAGAGUACGUAGGUGGUUUUGUAAGCGCGGGGUGAAAGGCAGUGGCUUAACCAUUGUAAGCCUUGCGAACUGCAAGACUUGAGUGCAGGAGAGG
rnacentral:rRNA from 1 species